rnacentral:rRNA from 1 species
AUAGCCGCAAUUUUCUGUGCUAAGGUAGCAUAAUCAUUAGUUUUUUAAUUAAAAAAUAGAAUGAAAGGUCAAACGAAAUAGCGACUGUUUCAAGAUUUUGAAAUAAAUUUAAAAUUAAAGUUAAAAUUCUUUAAAUUGAAAGAAAGACGAUAAGACCCUAUAAACUCAAUAUUUAGCUGGGGCGGCCUUUUAAAAAAACCUUAAUUAUAAAUACAACAAACCAAAUAAAAUUUUCAGAAAAGUUACUUUAGGGAUAACAGCGUUACUUUUUUUCAAAGACCCUAUAAAAAAAAAUCCUUCGACCUCGAUGUUGAAUUAUAAACCUAUUUAAAGCAAAAAUUAAAAAAGGCGGUCUGUUCGACCAAUAAAUAUAU